rnacentral:rRNA from 1 species
UACAGAGGGUGCAAGCGUUAUCCGGAAUUAUUGGGCGUAAAGCGCGCGCAGGCGGUUUCUUAAGUCAGGGGUGAAAUCCUGGAGCUCAACUCCAGAACUGCCUUUGAUACUGAGAGGCUUGAGUCCGGGAGAGGUGAGUGGAACUGCGAGUGUAGAGGUGAAAUUCGUAGAUAUUCGCAAGAACACCAGUGGCGAAGGCGGCUCACUGGCCCGGUACUGACGCUGAGGUGCGAAAGCGUGGGGAGCAAACAGG